AACGAACGCUGGCGGCGUGCCUAACACAUGCAAGUCGAACGUGAUUGGAAGCUUGCUUCCAUGAAAGUGGCGCACGGGUGAGUAACGCGUAGAUAAUCUACCUGGUGAUCUGGGAUAACACCUCGAAAGGGGUGCUAAUACCGGAUAAGCCCACAGGGUCUUUGGACCCAGAGGGAAAAGGGGGGGACCUUCGGGCCUUCCGUCAUCAGAUGAGUCUGCGUACCAUUAGCUAGUUGGUAGGGUAAAGGCCUACCAAGGCGACGAUGGUUAGCUGGUCUGAGAGGAUGAUCAGCCACACUGGACCUGUGACACGGUCCAGACUCCUACGGGAGGCAGCAGGCGGGAAUUUUGCGCAAUGGGCGAAAGCCUGACGGAGCAAGGCCGAGUGAGUGAUGAAGGCUCUUGGGUCGUAAAGCUCUGACAGAGGGAAAGAAAUGCAGGGGUGCUAAUAUCACCUUUGCUUGACGGUACCCUCAAAGGAAGCACCGGCUAACUCCGUGCCAGCAGCCGCAGUAACAC
rnacentral:rRNA from 1 species